AAAACAUGGCCUUAUAUUUAUGCAAGGUCUAACCUGCCCACUGAUUAUUUGAAGGUCCGUUGUAUACUGACCAUGCGAAGGUAGCAUAAUCAUUUGCCUCUUGAUUAGAGGCUAGCAUGAAGGGUUGGACGGGGGAUCUUCUGUCUCUAAUAUUAAAAUGAAAUUGAUUAUUAAGUGAAAAAGCUUAAAUUUUCUUGGAGGACGAUAAGACCCUAUGGAUCUUUAUAACGAAUUUUUAAAGAAUCUGGUUGUUAAAAUCUUGGAAAUGUUCUUAUUGUGUUGGGGCGACACUGAGAAGAGAAUUAUCCCUCAGUUUAAAAAGACAUACUUAAAUGAUACAAAGAUCCUUUACUGAAAUUAGAUUAAGUUACCCUAGGGAUAACAGCGUUAUAUCUUUUGAGAGUUCAUAUCGACAAAGAUGAUUACGACCUCGAUGUUGGUUCAGGGAACCUUUAAGGUGCAG
rnacentral:rRNA from 1 species